rnacentral:rRNA from 1 species
UGGGGAAUAUUGGACAAUGGGGGCAACCCUGAUCCAGCCAUGCCGCGUGAGUGAUGAAGGCCUUCGGGUUGUAAAGCUCUUUUGUCAGGGAAGAUGAUGACGGUACCUGAAGAAUAAGCCCCGGCUAACUUCGUGCCAGCAGCCGCGGUAAUACGAAGGGGGCUAGCGUUGUUCGGAAUUACUGGGCGUAAAGGGCGCGUAGGCGGCUCUGUAAGUCAGGAGUGAAAUCCCCAGGCUCAACCUGGGAAUUGCUUUUGAGACUAUGGAGCUUGAGUACAGGAGAGGUGAGUGGAAUUCCCGGUGUAGAGGUAAAAUUCGUAGAUAUCGGGAGGAACACCAGUGGCGAAGGCGGCUCACUGGCCUGUAACUGACGCUGAGGCGCGAAAGCGUGGGGAGCAAACAGGAUUAGAUACCCCUGUAGUCC